UAAUCAUUCAAUAAAACAAGAAAGAAAGAAAGAAAAAAUUCUUUGUUAUCCUCCUUUGAAGAAUCUCUCUUUCUCUCUUCAUUUUCAAGAUUCAUUUCCAAAACCCAUUAAACAGAAAAACAUCAUUAAAAUCUUGGUUUAAUCAUCCAACAAAACAGAAAAAAAUUCUUAGUUAAUCAUUGUUUGGAAUUUUUUUUCUCUCUCCAUUUUCAAGAUUCCUUUAACCCCAAUUCACAGCCAAAAACAUCAUUAAAACCUUGCACCAUUCUCUCCAUUGCAGCCAAGAAAUAUAAGAUAUUUCAGGAGGACAACUGGCAAAGAGAAACAACCCAGAAAGAAAGAAAAAACACAUCAUGAAAGAAGCUAAAAUGGGAGCAAUUAUCACCUCAACAACAACAAUCAUGGCAAUGUUGUUGUUCAUGAUCAAUGCCUCAAAUGUUGCAGCAGGAUUUCCAUUGAUAAAGACUGUUGUGGUAACAAACAACCACAGUAAUUACCUAAGCAUCCGAUGUUUCUCCUUCGACGACGACGGCCAAGUUAGGCAUCUGAAUAAAAUGGGCAGUUUCAACAUUAGUGUCAAAAUCAGGAAAUUCUUCCCUUCUUCCACCAUGUACAAUUGCUCCACAAACAUGGGAACUUUCGUCGCGUUUCGAUUCGACUACGAGUGUGUUAGUUAUUCAACCCCUUGUGAAUGGAUGUUUGAUGAGGACUACACAUA